GCACGUGUUUAAGCCAUCCGCUAACCCUACCGAUGCGGGCGGAUGGGCAGCACAACCGUGAGCCGCCGCCUCCAAUCAUGGCGGCUCUUCUCUCCGCCCUAGUCUUCGGAGGUGCCAUUGAUUCGGUUUUCCCCCCUUAAUCGUUCGUGUUAUUUUCGUUUCCCAGAAGGGGAUUUUAUUGUUUCUUGCUGCCAAGUGAUGCUGGGAAUAUUGCGCAAGGGCUUUGAGCAAUUCGUGGCUUUUGUUUGCCUGAUGCGAUGAGAUCACAACAUAUGUACUCUCCCUUCUGAUGGCAGCAGCCGUUCUUCGGCCCUGGAUCUGCACCCCUUUUGCCCUCUGCUUUUCUUUUCAGAAACGGUGGAAGAUUUUCUUGCGCUGUGGUUUUUUGUAAGGUGAUAUGCAAGAAAGCAGAUACCUUGCGCCGUUCACUUCUGUUUGGGCAUUUUUAGGAUUUGUGCACAUGCAUAAUUUCCCUUUUUCAUUGCCAGGUGAUGAUGGGAUAUUGCGCAAGGGCUAUGAGCAGUUCAUGGGCACUAGUGGCCCAACGCGGUGAUACUACAUGACAUCCCUUCUGAUGGCAAUUUGGUUCUGAAUCCAACUAAGUGACAUAAAUCAUACGAGUGCUAAACUCUCUUCACUGCUUGUUCAGAGCAGCAGAUCCGCCAGUAGCUUGGAUGACAGAUUGGAAUGUGUAGUGCGAGUAAGCUGAACCCAAGAAGUUCCUGAAGCUUUGGGCUAUUCAGUUUCUGGCCAUAAUCCUAUGACUUGGAGAAAUUCAGAAACUUACAGGCAAUCUUGAUACCACAGUUAACAUUCCUUUACUGUAACAUGACGGGCCAUCCAUUUCAUGGUCCAUGAAUUCUGAAAUUUGGCUCUACCAACUGAAAACCUUCCUGGCUUUGCCUUAGGUCCUA